rnacentral:rRNA from 1 species
AUGCCCUGUAAUCUGGUGGAGAAAGCUGUUUUCGGCCUCCUGGACAUCUGUCAGCGUUUGCUUCCUUAUAAGGAGAAUCUCGUGGAUGAUCUACUGAGAUCGCUUCAGUUAAUCUUGAAACUUGAUGCUCGUGUGGCUGAUGCGUAUUGCGAGAGCAUCACGCAGAAGGUCGCAUGCCUUGUCAAGGAUAAUGCAACACAUAUCAAGUCUCAGAUGGGUUGGCAAACUAUCAUUUCCUUGCUCUGUGUCACUGCUCAUCAUCCUGAUGCUUCCGACGCUGGUUUUGAAGCCCUGAUUUACAUCAUGUUUGAGGGGGCACACCUCUCACCUGCCAACUUCGUCCUUUCGGUGGAGGCUGCGAGACAGUUUGCACAGUCUCGGCUCGGGUCUGCUGAAAGAUCUAUCCAUUCUUUGAACCUAAUGGCUGAAUCUGUGAAUUGCCUUGCACGCUGGUCGCAUGAGGUUAAGGAAGCUGGUGGAGAGGCCGAAAGGAUGCUGGAAGGAAUCGCUGAGAUGUGGCUGCGGCUAGUCCAGGCGCUGCGGAAGGUGUGCACAGAUCAGCGAGAACAAGUGAGGGAUCAUGCUCUGGUAUUGUUGCACAGAUGCUUAGUAGUUGAUGGGAUAUCAGUUCCAUCUUCGGUGUGGUUGAUGUCAUUCGACAUUGUCUUCCACUUGCUCGAUGAAUUGCUAGAGAUUGCUCAGAAUUUCUCACCAAAGGAUUUCAGAAACAUGGAGUCGUCCCUCUUGCAUGCUGUAAAACUUUUAUCCAAACUAUCCAUGCAGUCACUCAAUGAUCUUUCAGCACACAUUGGGUUCAGUAAGCUGUGGUUGGAGGUACUGGACAUGAUAGAGAAGCUCAUGAAAGCCAAAGUAAGAGGGAGCAGCAGGACUGAGAGGUUACAAGAGGCUGCCACAGAGCUACUCAAGAACAUUCUGCUGGCGAUGAAAGCGAGCGGGAUCUUAUCGAGCACAAGCGCCGGAGGGGAGAACAGUUUGUGGGAAGCAACAUGGCUUCGGGUUAACAAGAUCGCGCCUUCGCUGCAGCCAGUAGUUUUCCCUGAUUAUGAUGAUGCAGUACAAGGUUCACAAAGCAAGUUGGAUAUCCCAGCAGUUUCUGAGGGGAGGUUGGUCCCAGUUUAG